rnacentral:rRNA from 1 species
GACGAACGCUGGCGGCGUGCUUAACACAUGCAAGUCGAACGCUGAAGCUCAGCUUUUGUUGGGUGGAUGAGUGGCGAACGGGUGAGUAACACGUGAGUAACCUGCCUCCUUCUUUGGGAUAACGCCCGGAAACGGGUGCUAAUACUGGAUAUUCACUGGUCUUCGCAUGGGGGUUGGUGGAAAGGGUUUUUCUGGUGGGGGAUGGGCUCGCGGCCUAUCGGCUUGUUGGUGGGGUGAUGGCCUACCAAGGCUUUGACGGGUAGCCGGCCUGAGAGGGUGACCGGUAACAUUGGGACUGAGAAACGGCCCAGACUAGUACGGGAGGCAGAAGUGGGGAAUAUUGCACAAUGGGCGCAAGCCUGAUGCAGCGACGCUGCGUGAGGGAUGGAGGCCUUCGGGUUGUGAACCUCUUUCGCUCAUGGUCAAGCCGCAACAAUGGUUGUGGUGAGGGUAGUGGGUAAAGAAGCGCCGGCUAACUACGUG